AACGAACGCUGGCGGCAUGCCUAACACAUGCAAGUCGAACGAGACCUGCGGGGCUUGUGGCGCACGGGGGGUUGAGGCGGGGGAAGCUGCGCGUAGGUUCGGAACAACGUAGCGGGGGGGGUGCUAAUAACAGGUAAGGUAUUCCUACCAAAGAUUUAUUGCCUCGGGAUGGGUCCGCGUUAGAUUAGCUGGUUUGUAGGGUAGAAGCCUAUCAAGGCGAUGAGCCAUAGCUGGGCUGAGAGGAUGAUCAGCCACACUGGGACUGAGACACGGACCAGACUCUUAGGGGUGGCAGGAGUGGUGAAUAUUGGACACUGGGCGAGAGCCUGAUCCAUCAAUGCCGUGUGAGUGAUGAAGGCCUUAGGGUUGUAAAGCUCUUUUACACGGGAUGAUAAUGACAGUACCGGGAGAAUAAGCUCCGGCUAACUCCGUG
rnacentral:rRNA from 1 species